UACGUAGGGGGCAAGCGUUGUCCGGAAUUAUUGGGCGUAAAGGGCGCGCAGGUGGUGGUUUAAGUUUGGUGUUUAAUCCCAGGGCUCAACCCUGGUUCGCACUGAAACUGGAUCACUUGAGUUCAGAAGAGGAGAGUGGAAUUCCUGGUGUAGCGGUGAAAUGCGCAGAUAUCAGGAAGAACACCCGUGGCGAAGGCGGCUCUCUGGGACGGUACUGACGCUGAGACGCGAAGCGUGGGGAGCGAACAGG
rnacentral:rRNA from 1 species